GAUGAACGCUGGCGGCGUGCCUAAUACAUGCAAGUCGAGCGAACAGAUAAGGAGCUUGCUCCUUUGACGUUAGCGGCGGACGGGUGAGUAACACGUGGAUAACCUACCUAUAAGACUGGGAUAACUUCGGGAAACCGGAGCUAAUACCGGAUAACAUAUUGAACCGCAUGGUUCAAUAGUGAAAGGCGGCUUUGCUGUCACUUAUAGAUGGAUCCGCGCCGUAUUAGCUAGUUGGUAAGGUAACGGCUUACCAAGGCAACGAUACGUAGCCGACCUGAGAGGGUGAUCGCCCACACUGGAACUUAGCCGCGGUCCAGACUCCUACGGGAGGCAGCAGUAGGGAAUCUUACGCAAUGGGCGAAAGCCUGACGGAGCAACGCCGCGUGAGUGAUGAAGGUCUUCGGAUCGUAAAACUCUGUUAUCAGGGAAGAACAAAUGUGUAAGUAACUGUGCACAUCUUGACGGUACCUGAUCAGAAAGCCACGGCUAACUACGUG
rnacentral:rRNA from 1 species